rnacentral:rRNA from 1 species
GGUAUGGCGCACGGCGCCACGGGUGCGCUAACACGUGGGCAAUCUGCCCUUCGAUGGGGAAUAACUCCGGGAAACCGAAGCUAAUUCCGCAUAACAUUCCCUGGACUCCGGUUUGGGGAUUCAAAGCAGCAAUGCGUCGAAGGAGGAGCCCGCGCCCGAUUAGCUAGUUGGUAGGGUAACGGCCUACCAAGGCUUUGAUCGGUAGCUGGUCUGAGAGGAUGGCCAGCCACACUGGAACUGAGACACGGUCCAGACUCCUACGGGAGGCAGCAGUGGGGAAUCUUGCGCAAUGGGCGAAAGCCUGACGCAGCGACGCCGCGUGGGGGAUGAAGCUUCUCGGAGUGUAAACCCCUUUCGACUGGGACGAAUGCCUCGCAAGAGGAGUGACGGUACCAGUAGAAGAAGCCCCGGCUAACUACGUGCCAGCAGCCGCGGUAAGACGUAGGGGGCCAGCGUUGUUCGGAAUUACUGGGUGUAAAGGGUUCGUAGGCGGUGUGGCAAGUCGGGAGUGAAAUUUCUGGGCUUAACCCAGAACCUGCUUCCGAAACUGCUGUGCUCGAGUGUGGGAGAGGCGCGUGGAAUUGCAGGUGUAGCGGUGAAAUGCGUAGAUAUCUGCAGGAACACCCGUGGCGAAAGCGGCGCGCUGGACCACUACUGACGCUGAGGAACGAAAGCUAGGGGAGCAAACAGGAUUAGAUACCCUGGUAGUCCUAGCCCUAAACGAUCAGGACUUGGGGUGCCACCCGUUCGGGUGUCGUCCCGGAGCUAACGCGUUAAGUCCUGCACCUGGGGAGUACGGUCGCAAGACUGAAACUCAAAGGAAUUGACGGGGGCCCGCACAAGCGGUGGAACAUGUGGUUCAUUCGACG